AGAAUCAACGCUGGCGGCGUGCCUAACACAUGCAAGUCGCACGAGAAAGGGACUUCGGUCCUGAGUAAAGUGGCGCACGGGUGAGUAACACGUGAAUAAUCUACCUCCGAGUGGGGAAUAACUGAGAGAAAUCUUAGCUAAUACCGCAUAAUACCUUCGGGUCAAAGGAGCAAUUCGCUUAAGGAGGGGGUCGCGGCCGAUUAGUUAGUUGGCGGGGUAAUGGCCCACCAAGACUGUGAUCGGUA
rnacentral:rRNA from 1 species